UGCAAGCUAUUAAACGUGUGGACUGGAAUGAAGACAUCAUCAAAAAUGCUUGUGUCUGCGGCGCCCACUUUAUAUCAGGUACACAUAGGAAAAAGAGGAGAGAAGACGGACCUAGUACUGCAGCAAACCAACGUGCUCCUUCUGAAACUCCAGAACCUCCAGAACAAGAAUGCAGCAUGGAUCAUUGUCCUGCUGAAGAGGACAUCCCAGUUCCAAG